AUGAGCAGAGAUGGAGGCAGCGGUGACGAUAAUGCGAACCCCGACCUCAUCAGCCGCCUUCCCGAAGAGAUCCUCGACAGCAUCCUCUCCCUCCUCCCUACCACCAAGGGCGCCGCGCAGACAUCUGUUCUAUUUUCCAGGUGGCGCCACCUUUGGCGCACUGCCCCGCUCAACCUUGUCAUCGACCAAGGCCCCAUCAGCCAGGAGAGCAAGCGCAUCACCAUCGUCUCCAAGAUCCUUGCCGCGCACUCUGGUCCUGCCCGCCGUCUCUUCUUCAACCAACCCGGUGGCAUCUGCCUCCGCCGUGAGUUCUAUGCCAAGUUCGACAGCUGGUUCCGGUCCCCUUCCCUCAAUGGCCUUGAGGAGCUCUACUUGUAUGGAGGCGACAUGUUGCCGUGCCUGCUGCCAUCAUCCGCACUCCGCUUCGCACCAACGCUGUGCAUCGCCAGCAUCGGCCACUGCGAUUUUGCCUUGAUUAAUGAUGCCCUUGCACUUAGCUUCCCUCGGCUGAAGCAGCUCAAGCUCUAUCAUGUCUCCAUCUCGGAGGUGACCCUCCACCACCUGCUUGCCGGCUGCACUAUGAUACAGAGCCUUGAUCUUCGAUGGAUCCAUGGGCCCAGCAGCAUCCGGAUCAUCUCGCCGACUGUCCGAAGUAUUGGCAUAUCUGUUUGUGACUACUACGAUGAAAAGCUUGUGUUCCCGGAACUUGUUAUUGAGGAUGCACCAUGCCUUGAAAGAUUGAUCCCACAUGGUUUAAGGGGUGGUCCAAGGACAAUCAGGGUCAUCGCGGCGCCAAAACUGGCAGUGUUGGGCUACCUGUCUAGGCUAAUCUCCGAACUUGUUAUUGGAACCAUAAGUGUUAAGGAAAUGAUCCCUAUCAUGUUCACCACGACGGUACGCACAGUAAAGGUCUUGGUUCUACAAUCUGUCGGCCCUAAUCUGGAUGCAAUUGUCUCAUUCCUUAGAUGCUUUCCCUGCAUGGAGAAGCUGUACAUUCAGUCACGUCCUAGAAAGGACAUGACAAAUGUGCAGCAAUAUGACACACUUGUUGAUCCUAUCGAAUGCCUUGACCUCCAUCUCAGAGCAAUCGUAGUGAACAUGUAUCAAGGCUUGGGGCCAGAUGUUAACUUUGCAAAGUUCUUUGUUCUGAAUGCAAAGGUGCUCAAGGUAAUGAAAUUUGGUGUGUAUGGUAGUAACUGCAAUGAGCAAUGGAUAGCUGAUCAGCACAGAGAGCUACAACUGGAUAGCAGGGCUUCUGGAGAUGCUCGGUUUGAUUUUGUGAGAUAUAAUGGCGAGUGCACGUUUUCCAAUAUGAAGCACACGCAUGAUAUGUGGAUAGCUGACCCCUUUGAUAGCUCACUGUGUAAAUGUUGUUCACCAGUUUGA
rnacentral:rRNA from 1 species